rnacentral:rRNA from 1 species
GUGAGGAAUUUUUCGCAAUGGGCGAAAGCCUGACGGAGCAAUGCCGCGUGAAGGAUGAAGGCCUAUGGGUUGUAAACUUCUUUUCUCAGAAAAGAAUUAUGACGGUAUCUGAGGAAUAAGCAUCGGCUAACUCUGUGCCAGCAGCCGCGGUAAGACAGAGGAUGCAAGCGUUAUCCGGAAUGAUUGGGCGUAAAGCGUCUGUAGGUUGUUUAAAAAGUAUUCUGUCAAAGAUUAGGGCUUAACCCUAGAUAGGCAGAAUAAACUUUUAAGCUAGAGUUUGGUAGAGGCAGAGGGAAUUCCCGGUGGAGCGGUGAAAUGCGUAGAUAUCGGGAGGAACACCAAAGGCGAAGGCACUCUGCUGGGCCAAUACUAACACUGAGAGACGAAAGCGAGGGGAGCAAAUGGGAUUAGAAACCCGUGUAGUCC